UUGUCGAAUGAUGAAAUAUAAUAUACGAUAUACUCUCGAGUCCUGAGUAAAUACAUUGAACUCAAAAAAAAUUGCUCAGUUGAGCGUGAGUUUUAAAUGAAGUAAACAUUAUUAUCUGACGAGAAAUUUCU
rnacentral:snoRNA from 2 species